GCCAGGCGUGGUGGUUCAUGCCUGUAAUCCCAGCUACUCAGGAGGCUGAGAUAGGAGAAUUGCUUGAACCUGGGAGGCAGAGGUUGCAGUGAGCCGAAUCAUGCCACUGCACUCUAGCCUGGGUGACAAAGCAAGACUCCAUCUCAA
rfam:Pan troglodytes isolate Yerkes chimp pedigree #C0471 (Clint) chromosome 20, whole genome shotgun sequence.